AUGGCAGGGACAAAGAGGGUGAGGAACUUUAUCCUAUGUUUUUGGGUCCCCAGUGCAUGCGUGUGGCUGUAUGGAAUUUUUUUAUUGUACAAGCACAAUUUCCCCCAGAUAUUAUAGCCCCCCAAAUGGCCAACUCAACCACAAGAGAAGAUAAUGAGAUUAUAACUGGUGUACAGCAGUACAGUUACAAUACACAUAAUACUUGCAGCAAUUUUCAAUGGAGGCUCCUAUAUCCAAAAUGCCACAAUUCACCAAGCUUGUUUAUAUCAGAUGGCUAUAUAGAAGUCAUCAGUGUUCACUAUUCAGUUAUACCAUUAACACCAAUUCCAAUAGCGAAAUAGAAACUGAAAGCAAAUACGAUACUUGCAAACAUGAUUGGUCCCCAAAUCAGCAACUGGUCAGGAAAGCAGCGAUGACCUGUUUGCAAAGUUCAAAAAUCUCAAACAGAGGAUUAUUUGAUCUAUUGUUGAUCUUUUGCCACGUGUCUAGGAUUUGCAGCCAACUUAUUAUUAGGUUUUCUCCCUUUCGUUUCAAAUAUUACUGAAGGGGUAAAGAAGGUCAUGUAUCUAAAUUGUCUCCUCAUGAGGUCUGUUAUCAGACCUCAAGUUUGGCUGGUGCGCUUCUUCAGGUCACUAUGUUUUUUACUCAAUCCUAUGUGUAUAUUGUCGAGUAAAGCUUUAAAAAGGCAAAUACGAUUAGCAUCUUCUCACUCCUAUGCAAGUUUCUGAGUACUACUUGCUACUAUCCAGUUAACAUUUCAGAUACCAUAUGUUAAGCACUUAAGCUUGAGCCUU
rnacentral:misc_RNA from 1 species